UGACGGCGGGGGAGCGACGGAGAGUUCAGAAGAGAAGGAAAGGAAUGAAUUUACAUUCAGUUUCAGGUUCCAAACGUAUGAGGAAUUUAGCAAAUCGAAUAAAGAAAAUUUUGGUUGUGAGAAACUAGAUUGGAAUGGUUGUUCUUCAUCAUUGAGCAACAGAUAUGAGUUUUUGCCGGAGAAGAGUACGAGCCACUUUGUGGAAGAAGCGGAAAUUCCGAGCUAUACGGUGG
rnacentral:misc_RNA from 1 species